rnacentral:rRNA from 1 species
CCCUUAGACGUUCUGGGCCGCACGCGCGCUACACUGACCAGUGCAACAAGCAUCCGUCCUUGGCCGACAGGCCCGGGCAAUCUUUGAACGCUGGUCGUGAUGGGGAUAGACUUUUGCAAUUUUUGGUCUUCAACGAGGAAUUCCUAGUAAACGCAAGUCAUCAACUUGCAUUGAUUACGUCCCUGCCCUUUGUACACACCGCCCGUCGCUGCCCGGAACUGAGCCGUUUCGAGAAGACUGAGGAUUGCUGACUUGAGGCCUUCACGGGCUUCUAGUCGGUGAAAAUCAAUUUAAUCGCAGCGGCUUGAACCGGGCAAAAGUCGUAACA